GAUGAAGAACGUAGCGAAAUGCGAUAAGUAGUGUGAAUUGCAGAAUUCAGUGAAUCAUCGAAUCUUUGAACGCACAUUGCGCCCCUUGGUAUUCCAUGGGGCAUGCCUGUUCGAGCGUCAUUUGUACCCUCAAGCUUUGCUUGGUGUUGGGUGUUUGUCCCGCGUUGCGCGUGGACUCGCCUUAAAGCGAUUGGCAGCCGGCAUAUUGGCCUUGGAGCGCAGCACAUUUUGCGCUUCUAGUCAUGAAUGUUGGCGUCCAUUAAGCCUAUACAUUUGCUCUUGACCUCGGAUCAGGUAGGGAUACCCGCUGAACUUAAGCAUAUCAAUAGGCGGAGGA
rnacentral:misc_RNA from 1 species